CAAACAGAGGAUCUUCUGCCUCAAUAACAAGGCAUCAAAACUAGUUCUAUUACACAUCCAAAUUUGCAGAGCAACACAAGUUUUAAAACCCUUCUUAAUGCUUGAACUGAAAUUCACAAACCCAUUUAUUUGUUCCAUAUAUAUGGUUAUUUCGCACGGUGAAGAUAAAGAAGAAGCAAUUGCAGAAACUUCAAGGCUUAAACAGCUACUGGAUGGACUAGGAAAGUAGCCAGGAUAUCCUUGAGUGAAGUCUUGGAGUUUGUAUAACUAUCUUCAUCUUUGUAAACAACAUCCAUGACCCUUACAAUGUUCAGAAUACACAUCAAAAUAGGCUUUGGAAUAUCUGCAGUUUCUUUCAGGAGCUCCUCGUUGAGGUCUUUCCACAAAUUUAUGACUAUUUUGUAUAACUCAUCAUAUGCCUCCUGCUGUGAUACGCCAUGCUGCUUCAUAUAGCAUUCCACAGCUGAAGCAACAUGUCCCCUUUCUUGCUCAAACUCAUGGGACCUGAUGUCAUCUAUGAGCCUGGCAAGACCUGAUGCAGCAUAUAAAAGUUUAGGUUCAGUGAAAAGCCAAUCAAAGACCUCUUUUGAAGCCACUUCGCCCAUCCCACAGAAGGAUAAGGUUAUCAAGAUAGGGUAAGUAGAGCUGAUCACUGCAACAGAAAUAUAUUCUUCUAAUGUUGGCACAUAAUCACUGUUGAACCAUCUUGCUUCAGUGAUAUAAGCUCUCACUUGCUUCUUCACCGCUUCCUUUGGGUAGUGAAUGCAGAAUGGCCUCCCUUCCUUUGUAGUUACUGCCUCUAUUUCAGCAUAGAAAUCUAAAAAUGCUUCUAAAUACGCCUUCAUGUAAUCCGGAAGUUGAUCUUUCAUGCUAAUAUCCCACCUGAAAUCUCAAUAUUAUGUUAAGUGUCCAGUUCCA
rnacentral:misc_RNA from 1 species